rnacentral:ncRNA from 1 species
GGCCGACUCCAAGAUGCCCGACAACCAGGCCGGCCACGAAAAGGGGCUCACCGUCGCAUUGGCCGGCCACGCCGGAGCCAAUCUCGUCUACGAGUCA